CGCGUCCUUUGUCAGGGGGAGCAUUAUGUCCAAUGAUUGUCUAGAGAGGACAUAGGUGCUGACACCCAUUGAUUUAUUUAUCGCAUCGGGCUUCAUGUCUCGGUGCAAUUUUUGGAAGC